rnacentral:lncRNA from 1 species
CAAACAACAACAACAACAACAACAACAAACCCAGUGUAUUCCCACCUAGUGGGGUCUGGGGGGGUAAGAUGUACGCAGUCUAUACCUCUACCUCUAAAGAAGUAGAAAGGCUGUUUCCGAUAGACCCCCGGCUCAAGGCACGAGAUACCACACAAACACAUAGUAAAGCACAGAAGCAGAUUACAUAACAUAAAUACGGCACCCAUAAGUAAUAUAAAACAGAGGAAAGCGCACAGAUUCGUAAUAAAACAUGGAACACGGAACACGGAAUCAUAACAGGAAUAAAACUCCCACUGAGUAAUUCCCUACCCUAGCGACCCAAACUGGCCCUAGUCCUCUGCCCUACUUCGCGUCUUCCAUACCUUCCUCAACGCUAGCCUCUCACACCUACGGACCGGGGCAUCCAUGCCCCUCCUCUUCACGUGUCCGAACCAUCUCAAUCGGGCUCCCCGCAUCUUGCACUCCACUGAAGUCACACCAACCUUCUCUCAGAUAGUCUCAUUCUGAACUCUAUCCCCUCUAGUCAGCGCACACAUCCAGCGCAACAUCCGCAUUUCUGCCACCUUCAUUUUUUGGAUGUGGGAGUUCUUAACUGGCCAACACUCCGCUCCAUACAACAAGGCCGGACGGACUACCACCCUGUAAAAUUUGCCUUUAAGCUUGGGCGGCACCUUCUUAUCACACAGCACCCCCGACGCGAGCUUCCACUUCAUCCAUCCCGCCCCAAUACUGUGCGAGACAUCCUCGUCAAUCUCACCGUUACUUUGGAUCACGGACCCAAGAUACUUGAAAUUUUUCCUAUUACAUACCUCCUGUGCUUCCAGCUUCAUUACUACCUCAUUCUCCCGC